CUUACCUGGUCAAUUUGAUGAACUAGAUUUUGAUUAGAUCGCUAAGUGAUUCGAGUUAGCCCAUGCCAUUAAGGUUGAUAGUGUGAUUGAUCUAGGUGCCAAUUCAAUCAGCAUGAUCUAAUUCAAUUCAGUGACUUGGUGAAGUCAGUAGGAGAAUUAUAGUCUACUGAUUGAUCUUUUCUUCUCUUCUCUCUUCUCUAAAUCGAUUAAAUCCUCUAAAUUAUUAAGUUCUUAAAAUAAGCUGGUUAUGGUGAUAAUUAGAUUAUAGUCUCCCAUUAAAGUGAGUGAUAAUGGGUCCAUUAUUUUUGAUUGACAU
rnacentral:lncRNA from 1 species